CCUCACAGUCAGCAGACACUUCCUAGGAGGGAGGGUCUGCUGCUGAUUGGGUGGAAUGUGUCUGCUGGCUGUGAGGUUCCGGGUCAAAGUUUACUCAAUGAUGACGUUUAGGGGGCGGACCGGAAAUCGGAUAUGUUCGCCCAAAGCGAACACGCUAUUGUUCGCCGGCGGACAGUUCGCGACAUCUCUAUUAGGGACCUCUUCAUCUCUCCCCGUCUCAUGUUUCUGUGAACACAUGGUAAACCACUGAACGUGUGUCACAGUGCACAAUUUCUACUCUUCUGAGAGAGGUCUUUAGGACUAAUGUACACAUAGGUAGCUAUAGUUGACUGACUUGAAUAGCGGUCUAUAUCAUACCUCCCAAUACUUUAGAGGUGUUUUAUUUUUUAAAGGAACUUUGCAGGCAAUAGGAAACAUAUAAAUUAAGCUUACAUACAUUAAAUACCCCAAUUGGACCUUUUCAGGAGACUACAGUGUCAGAGAAACAGGAGAUUUAAAAAAAAAAAAAUGCUUCCAAACACUGUGUGCAAACUUCUUUCAUAUCAUCUUGCUGGUGUAAUUGUGUGUAUUUAUGUAGAUCCACACUCGCCCACACAUGGAAGAUAAAGCUAAAUACAAUCCCUGAUAUAAAAUAUUAAAUGAUGAUUUACAUUACAAUAAAGCCAUAAUUUGCUUAUCUCACCUAUGCAUCAAAGCCUUGCUGUUUGGGCAAAUUGUAACUUAGUAUAAUUCAUAACUUAUAGGGAAGGUGUAGGUUUAAAAAAAAUGCAUGUUUGUUUAAUGUACCAACAAGGAAAUUUUAAAUAAAUCAAAAGGAAUAGUGAGAAAUGUAAAAGGCCAUAUCCCUAAAAAUUAAAUGUCUUUUUGCAAGUUCUGCAGCUGUGCUGAUCCAUCCAUUUUUUUUUUGCCAAGCACUAACUUAUUUAAAAGCAUUUUAUUAGACACUACCCAGCAGAUAUUAGGAAUAUAUAUAAUAUCAAAU